GCACUGGUGGCGGAAUAGGCAGACGCGUACGUUUGAGGGGCGUAUGACAGCAGUCGUGUGGGUUCAAGUCCCAUCCAGUGCACCA
rnacentral:tRNA from 1 species